CGUCAAAAUGAACUGCUCCUUGGGUUCUGAGAGUCCUGUUAGACCUUUGGGGAAAAGAACAGUCUGCAUAUUGUAAUCCCUUGGGCCUGACUUAGAUUCCUGGCAAAAUUCUGUAAUGCAUUAUUAAAGGAACGACUCUUGAACAUCUAGAAAAAGGAAGCAGUGAUCACAAAGAGCCAGCAUGGCUUCAUUAAGAACAGGGGCAGGCUCUACAAUUUGCUGUGAGUGCCAUCUGGUGCCUGAACCCAAACGUGAAUGUGAAGAGGAUAAGCUGAGCAACACUGACAGUUUGUAAUUCCACUCUGGGAGAGUGGAUAAAACAGGAGAAACAAAUGAACUUAUUACUUACUUAAAAGAGCAUCAGAUAUGCUAGGCUGAGUAAACCCCAUCUCU
rnacentral:lncRNA from 1 species